GUUUUCAUAAUUUAUCCUUACAUCAAAACCAAUAUGACCUCCAUAACAUGUCCAAAAGUUCCAAGCCUCUUUUGUGGAAUUGAAUUUCAUACCAAUCUGAGGCAUCCAACUAGGAACCACAUUUUUCCUAUAAAAAUUACACAUAAAUUAUUUGUUUGUAUGUUUACACUACAAUCAUAAGGUGAUAUGACCUGAGAAUUUAACAAAACUGUCGGUACCUGUUAGCAUCCUCAUUAGAGCUAGUCAUAUUCUCCAUUAGACUUUCUCUUCUUUUUUGUUGCUAGGAGAAGGACAACAAAAGGGAGAUCAUCUGCAUUAAUCUCCUGUAAUGUUUUGGAAAUCCCAGAAGAAGGAAGGCAAAAGGGAGAUAAUAUUCAUCGCCUACGGAUCAGCUUGCCUUGGUUUCGCUCUGAACAUGGAGGAUGAUCAGAAGAAAGAUAGGGCAAAAGGGAGUUGAUCUGCGCCAGGGUUCGGCCCCUUAUCUUGCCUUGGUUGUGCUCUGAACACGAAGGACGAUCAGAAGAAAGAUAGGGCAAAAGGGAGUUGAUCUGCGCCAGGGUUCGGCUCCUUAGCUUGCCUUGGUUGCGCUCUGAACAUGGAGGACGAUCAGAAGAAAGAUAGGGCAAAAGGAGGAACGAGGAAGAUGAGCGGGACAAACGCAAAGAGGUUGUUGUUUAGCGCCAUGGCGAUUAUCAGGGUGUGUUUUGUUUGGCGCCAAUGUGAGUAUCUUCGUGGUUCUGUUUGGCGGCAAUCCUGCAGCCGUAGGAUAUUUUGUACCACAUAAUUAGCUGUUUGUUUCCAUUUAUUAACAGAAUCAAGUGGGGGUAGUGAGAGUCGUCAGAUUUAAAUGGACGGCUAAUGUGAGUUGGUACAGUACCCGUGCAGUAAUAACGUGACUGCAGAGGAGCCGAACCCGU
rnacentral:rRNA from 1 species